ACGCGUUGUCGAAUGAUCCCGUAUUUCUGAAGAAAGUUGUUCAACUAACGGAUUUACUGCAACCAGUUUUUGACACACCUACUGGUUUACCAUAUCGUCAUAUCAAUAUUUUGACUGGGGAACCAAAUCGAACUAACGAGAAAAACUUUUUGGCAGAAGUUGCUACAUUACACCUGGAAUACAACUAUCUGACCGAUAUCACUGGAAAUCCUACUUAUCGGCAAAGGGUGGAUGUUAUCCGAAAUUUUUUGAAUCAAGUCCCUAAACCAUAUAAUGGCUUAUAUCCUAGCGAACUCAAUGUCAUUACUGGAGAGUGGACGUCCGAUCAAUGGGACCACCCACGGACAGUAUUUUUGAGUACUUUUUAAAAUCAUAUAUUGAAACCGGACUUCCAGAUACUUUAGGGCUACAAAUGUACUACGAUUCAAUAAACGCCUUUUUUGACAAUGGUUUAAUCCAAACGUCAAGUCCAAGUAAUCUUGAAUACAAUUCUGAAAUGGUUAAUGGCACCGCUGACCCUGUGGUGCAUCAUUUGACUUGUUUUGCCGGUGGAAUGCUGGCAUUGGGAGUUUAUUGGAUGGGAAGCGAACACCCAAAUGCAACGAGGGAUAUGCAACUCGCAAUUAAUUUCACAAAUACAUGUUACGAGUCAUAUCUUCGAAGUGUUCCAAAAUUGGGUCCAGUAAGAUUUAGAUUUGAUGAAGACGAGGAAGCCGUCGGAAUCUCUGAAACGGAUCGGGAUUGGAAAUUGAGACCCGAGCUUAUCGAGACUUUUGUGAUCCUCUUCAGAAUCAGGGGGGACACAAAGUAUCGAGAUUGGGGGUGGGAAAUUGCCCAGAAUAUUGAAAGAUAUUGCAAGGCCGGCCCAGGUAAAGGGUAGUCGGGAAUUGUGGAUGUUUACCAAAAUAUUCCGGAACAGGAUGACGUGCAACAGACGUACUUUUUGGCUGAAGUUCUCAAGUACCUUUAUCUAUAAUAAUUGGAUUACACGGAGUUAAGUGGAAAAGUCGAAGAAAAAGUUUUGCUUUAUUUUGUCAAUAUUUCGAAUGCUAUCUGCUAUUCAUUAUCAAGACAUUUACAAGAUGGGAAAUUUGUUACAAGAUUUCGUGUAAUGUUUCCUUUAUCUAUUGUUCAGCACACCUGACUUGAUGCAACUCGAUCAAUGGGUGUUUAAUACGGAAGCUCACGCUUUUCCCAGGAGGUUUUAAUUUUUUGCAGUUUGUAACUAAGAUUAUAAUAUGGACAUGGUCAUUGAUGUAAAAGAAACUGCAAAAAUUUCAAUUUUCAUAACGUGGGAUUAUUUGACACUUACAUAGGCGUUACAGUGGCCCGACCCUUGUAAAUAUGACGAGUAUAUGAUUACGUUGGUAAAAAAAUAUGGUGUUCCAGGAGGAUGAGCAAGUGACAAUGCUACUUUUUUUAAUGUGUGAAAGGUGUAUUUCCCGUUACAAUCUUAGUGUAAAGUCAAUUACUUCAAAUAUUUUACUUAUUUUAAUUGUAUUUUAACCCGGAAGCUUUUCCUCCAUGCUUUAUUGUUUUAGUACAAAAACAUAAAUGACCAACAUUUUGAUAACUAUG